rnacentral:tmRNA from 1 species
GGGGUCGUCAUUGGGUUCGACAGAGUAUGGCUCUAUUUAAAACGCAGGUGGUAGUUAUGCCUUAAAUAGCAAACUUAAAUUUUAAAUGACAACGAAUUAAAUUUCGCUCCUGCAUUCGCCUAACAUAGGUGGUGGGAGGUUUCUUCUUGCUUUUUCUCAUAGGGUAGGUAAGAAGCUCAUAAAUAUGAGAUAUAUUGAGCACUUCGUCUAAGAGUGUUUAAUGAAUGUAAUUAGACUUAGUUAAUUAGUGGUUAGUUAGAAACCAAACUGAUUAAUGAAAAUUAAUUCUAACUAAACCUGUAGACAUUAUUUAGUAAGUACUUUGGACGCGAGUUCAAAUCUCGCCGACUCCACCA